rnacentral:rRNA from 1 species
AUACGUAGGGUGUGAGCGUUGUCCGGAAUUACUGGGCGUAAAGAGCUCGUCGGCAGUGUGUCGCGUCGUCUGUGAAAUUCCGGGGCUUAACUUGGGGCCUGCCGGCGAUACGGGCCUAACUUGUGUACUGUAGGGGAGACUGGAAUCCCUGGUGUCGCGGUGAACUGCGCAGGUGGCCGGAGGAACACCGGUGGCGAAGGGGGGUCUCUGGGCAGUAACGGACGCUGAGGAGCGAAAGCAUGGAUAGCGAACAGGAUUAGAUGCCCUGGUAGGCCAUGCCGUAAACGGGGGGCGCUAGGUGUAGGGUCCUUCCACGACUUCUGUGCCGUAGCUAACCCAUUAAGCGCCCCGCCUUGGGAGUACGGCCGCAAGGCCAAAACUUAAAUGAAUUGACGGGG